GAUGAACGCUAGCUACAGGCUUAACACAUGCAAGUCGAGGGGCAGCGGGGAGGAUGCUUGCAUUCUCUGCCGGCGACCGGCGCACGGGUGAGUAACGCGUACCGAACCUGCCUCAUACUCGGGAAUAGCCUUGCGAAAGUAAGAUUAAUGCCCGGUGUUCCGCGAGGGCCGCAUUGGCCUUUUCGGCAAAGUUUUUUACGGUAUGAGAUGGCGGUGCGUCCCAUUAGCUUGUUGGCGGGGUAACGGCCCACCAAGGCGACGAUGGGUAGGGGUUCUGAGAGGAAGGUCCCCCACAUUGGAACUGAGACACGGGUCCAA
rnacentral:rRNA from 1 species